rnacentral:rRNA from 1 species
UACAGAGGGUGCAAGCGUUGUUCGGAAUUAUUGGGCGUAAAGCGCGUGUAGGCGGCUUUGCAAGUCGGGUGUGAAAGCCCUCAGCUUAACUGAGGAAGUGCGCCCGAAACUGCUUGGCUUGAGUACCGGAGAGGAUGGCGGAAUUCCCCAAGUAGAGGUGAAAUUCGUUGAUAUGGGGAGGAACACCGGUGGCGAAGGCGGCCAUCUGGACGGAUACUGACGCUGAGACGCGAAAGCGUGGGUAGCAAACAGG